AUGGUGACAUUCACGGCGCGCCGGGGCGAGCCGGAGCUGGUGCGCCCGGCGAGGCCGACGCCAACGGAAACCAAGGCGCUCUCCGACCUCGACGACCAGUGGACGCUGCGGUUCUACGAGUCCAUCGUCGGCUUCUUCCGGGCCCCGCCGGGCGAGGCGCCCAGGCCGGGCAAGGUGGCCAGGGGCAUCAAGGCGGCCGUGGCCGCGGCGCUCGUGUACUACUACCCAAUGGCCGGCCGCCUGCGGAAGCUCCCCGGCGGGAACAGGCUGGCGGUGGACUGCACGGGGGAGGGGGUGGCCUUCGUGGAGGCCUCCGCCGACGUGCGGCUCCAGGACCUCGGCCAGCCGCUGGUGCCGCCGUACCCGUGCGUUGAGGAGUUCCUCGGAGACUGCGGCGACACCAGGGAUGUACUUGGCAAGCCUUUGCUCUUCCUGCAGGUGACACAACUAAAAUGUGGAGGAUUUGUUAUUGGGCUUCACAUGUGUCAUUGCAUUGCUGAUGGUUUUGGUAUUCUUCAAUUUAUCAAAACUAUAGCCGAUUUUGGAUGUGGUGAACUUAUCCCAACAACUUUGCCUGUGUGGAAAAGAGAUAUCUUCACAGCACGCAUGCCACCAUCAAUUGCACAUGUUUACCCGGCAUAUAAGCCAUUUCUUCAUGGGUUAGAGUGCACAGGAGACGACGUGAUGCUAUCAACUCCGCCAGAAUGCAUGGAAGUGCAAUAUUUAUUCUUUGGGCCAAAUGAGAUAGAAAUGUUGAGAAGCCACGUCCCAGAACACCUCUCUAAAUCUACUACAACAUUUGAGUUGAUUACGGCUGUCAUGUGGCGGUGCCGCACAUUGGCACUGGGCUAUGAAUCUACUCAAAAAGUCCGUGUCAUGUUUACAUUAAACACACGUGGGAGAAGCAUUAAUGGUGAAAGCGCCGUCCCACGUGGUUACUAUGGAAAUGCACAUUUCUCUCCUAUGGUCGAGGUCACUGUCGAGGAGUUGGCUGCAAAGCCGCUUGGACAUAUACUUGAGCUCAUGCGUCAAGUCAAGUUGGACACCACAAAGGAUCGCAUGAAGUCAAUGGUGGAUUUGAUGGCAUUAUGGCGAGAGCGGUCACCUUUUGGUAUGGAUAGAACAUAUGAGGUUAGUGACACAAAGUGGGUUGGAGGCAAUGCACUGCAAUUUGGGAAAGCCGAGUUGGUUGCCGCUGGCACACCGCAUGCUGGAGAUUUCACUUCAAAGCUGAUAAGCUAUCAUACCAAGUGUAAGAAUAAAGAUGGUGAAGACUCAACCGUGGUAUCAAUCCUACUACCAAAACCAGCAAUGGAGAAGUUCACAAAGGAGAUGACGUUUUGGCUGAAGAAGUAA
rnacentral:rRNA from 1 species